rnacentral:rRNA from 1 species
CCUACGGGUGGCAGCAGUGAGGAAUAUUGGUCAAUGGACGCAAGUCUGAACCAGCCAUGCCGCGUGCAGGAAGACGGCUCUAUGAGUUGUAAACUGCUUUUGUACGAGGGUAAACGCAGAUACGCGUAUCUGUCUGAAAGUAUCGUACGAAUAAGGAUCGGCUAACUCCGUGCCAGCAGCCGCGGUAAUACGGAGGAUUCAAGCGUUAUCCGGAUUUAUUGGGUUUAAAGGGUGCGUAGGCGGUCGGAUAAGUUAGAGGUGAAAUCCCGGGGCUCAACUUCGGAAUUGCAUCUGAUACUGUUCGGCUAGAGAGUAGGUGCGGUAGGCGGAAUGUAUGGUGUAGCGGUGAAAUGCUUAGAGAUCAUGCAGAACACCGAUUGCGAAGGCAGCUUACCAAGCUACUUCUGACGUUGAGGCACGAAAGCGUGGGGAGCGAACAGGAUUAGAUACCCGAGUAGUC